AUUGAACGCUGGCGGCAGGCUUAACACAUGCAAGUCGAACGGUAACAGGAGAAAGCUUGCUUUCUUGCUGACGAGUGGCGGACGGGUGAGUAAUGCUUGGGAAUCUGGCUUAUGGAGGGGGAUAACGACGGGAAACUGUCGCUAAUACCGCGUAGUGUCGAGAGAUGAAAGUGCGGGACCUUCGGGCCGCAUGCCAUAGGAUGAGCCCAAGUGGGAUUAGGUAGUUGGUGGGGUAAAGGCCUACCAAGCCGACGAUCUCUAGCUGGUCUGAGAGGAUGACCAGCCACACCGGGACUGAGACACGGCCCGGACUCCUACGGGAGGCAGCAGUGGGGAAUAUUGCGCAAUGGGGGCAACCCUGACGCAGCCAUGCCGCGUGAAUGAAGAAGGCCUUCGGGUUGUAAAGUUCUUUCGGUAUUGAGGAAGGUUGUUGUGUUAAUAGCACGACAAAUUGACUGUAAA
rnacentral:rRNA from 1 species